rnacentral:lncRNA from 1 species
GAUCUUGUUUUUAAAGUUGAAAUGCAACAAACUUUUUCUUGCUGUAUAAAUAUUCUGCAUAUGUAUUAAUAAGCAUAGCUUUCAAGAAAUUGUCACAAAAGGUUUUAUUCUCUUUGCUUGUGACUAUUUUUCAUUGAAGCAUGCGCUUACCUAUGCUGAUUCCUACUAAAAGCAUAGGCUGGGGAAUUUAUUGGCGGAAGGAGAUGUGUAGUGUGGGCUAGACUGUUGGUGGAGGCUGGCUUUUUAGCCCACUUGCUAUACAUGAUGCCAAUGGAUUUAAGAGAUGAAA